ACCUGGGUGGCUCAGUUGGUUGAGCAUCUGACUUCGGCUCAGGUCAUGAUCUCACAGUUUGUGAGUUCGACCCCCACAUCAGGCU
rfam:Felis catus isolate Cinnamon breed Abyssinian chromosome A3, whole genome shotgun sequence.